rnacentral:rRNA from 1 species
GAAUCCCGUCUUUGACAUGGACUACCUGUACACCGUGGUACGCUCUCGAAGAGUCGAGUUGUUUGGGAAUGCAGCUCAAAAUGGGUGGUAAAUGCCAUCUAAGGCUAAAUAUUGGCGAGAGACCGAUAGCGAACAAGUACCGUGAGGGAAAGAUGAAAAGAACUUUGGAAAGAGAGUUAAACUAGUACGUGAAAUUGCUGAAAGGGAAACGCUUGAAGUCAGUCGCGUUGGCUAGAAAUCAGCCUUGCUCUUGCUUGGUGUACUUUCUGGUUGACGGGUCAGCAUCAAUUUUGACCAUUGGAUAAAGUCUUUGGGAAUGUGGCAUCUUAGGACGUGUUAUAGCCCAUUGUCGCAUACGGUGGUUGGGAUUGAGGAGUUCAGCACGCCGCAAGGCCGGGUUUCGACCACGUUCGUGCUUAGGAUGCUGGCAUAAUGGCUUUAAUCGACCCGUCUUGAAACACGGACCAAGGAGUCUAACAUGCCUGCGAGUGUUUGGGUGGAAAACCCAUGCGCGCAAUGAAAGUGAAAGUUGAGAUCCCCUCAAGGGGAGCAUCGACGCCCGGACCAGAGCUUCUGUGACGGAUCCGCGGUAGAGCAUGUAUGUUGGGACCCGAAAGAUGGUGAACUAUGCCUGAAUAGGGUGAAGCCAGAGGAAACUCUGGUGGAGGCUCGUAGCGAUUCUGACGUGCAAAUCGAUCGUCAAAUUUGGGUAUAGGGGCGAAAGACUAAUCGAACCAUCUAGUAGCUGGUUCCUGCC